rnacentral:rRNA from 1 species
AUGAACGCUAGCUACAGGCUUAACACAUGCAAGUCGAGGGGCAGCAUGGUCUUAGCUUGCUAAGGCCGAUGGCGACCGGCGCACGGGUGAGUAACACGUAUCCAACCUGCCGUCUACUCUUGGACAGCCUUCUGAAAGGAAGAUUAAUACAAGAUGGCAUCAUGAGUCCGCAUGUUCACAUGAUUAAAGGUAUUCCGGUAGACGAUGGGGAUGCGUUCCAUUAGAUAGUAGGCGGGGUAACGGCCCACCUAGUCUUCGAUGGAUAGGGGUUCUGAGAGGAAGGUCCCCCACAUUGGAACUGAGACACGGUCCAAACUCCUACGGGAGGCAGCAGUGAGGAAUAUUGGUCAAUGGGCGAGAGCUUGAACCAGCCAAGUAGCGUGAAGGAUGACUGCCCUAUGGGUUGUAAACUUCUUUUAUAAAGGAAUAAAGUCGGGUAUGGAUACCCGUUUGCAUGUACUUUAUGAAUAAGGAUCGGCUAACUCCGUGCCAGCAGCCGCGGUAAUACGGAGGAUCCGAGCGUUAUCCGGAUUUAUUGGGUUUAAAGGGAGCGUAGAUGGAUGUUUAAGUCAGUUGUGAAAGUUUGCGGCUCAACCGUAAAAUUGCAGUUGAUACUGGAUAUCUUGAGUGCAGUUGAGGCAGGCGGAAUUCGUGGUGUAGCGGUGAAAUGCUUAGAUAUCACGAAGAACUCCGAUUGCGAAGGCAGCCUGCUAAGCUGCAACUGACAUUGAGGCUCGAAAGUGUGGGUAUCAAACAGGAUUAGAUACCCUGGUAGUCCACACGGUAAACGAUGAAUACUCGCUGUUUGCGAUAUACUGCAAGCGGCCAAGCGAAAGCGUUAAGUAUUCCACCUGGGGAGUACGCCGGCAACGGUGAAACUCAAAGGAAUUGACGGGGGCCCGCACAAGCGGAGGAACAUGUGGUUUAAUUCGAUGAUACGCGAGGAACCUUACCCGGGCUUAAAUUGCAGAUGAAUUACGGUGAAAGCCGUAAGCCGCAAGGCAUCUGUGAAGGUGCUGCAUGGUUGUCGUCAGCUCGUGCCGUGAGGUGUCGGCUUAAGUGCCAUAACGAGCGCAACCCUUGUUGUCAGUUACUAACAGGUUCCGCUGAGGACUCUGACAAGACUGCCAUCGUAAGAUGUGAGGAAGGUGGGGAUGACGUCAAAUCAGCACGGCCCUUACGUCCGGGGCUACACACGUGUUACAAUGGGGGGUACAGAGGGCCGCUACCACGCGAGUGGAUGCCAAUCCCCAAAACCUCUCUCAGUUCGGACUGGAGUCUGCAACCCGACUCCACGAAGCUGGAUUCGCUAGUAAUCGGGCAUCAGCCACGGCGCGGUGAAUACGUUCCCGGGCCUUGUACACACCGCCCGUCAAGCCAUGGGAGCCGGGCUUACAGGGAGUGCGUAACCGCGAGGAG